UUUUUCUUUUCUCCUCCUUCCCUCUCUCUCUCCCUUUCCAGGAGAACCACAGUAAGGGAGGACAUGAAACAUCUUUAAUGGAAUUUUGCCUUUGAUCAAGCUGGUAAAAUGGAUGUGAACGUUAUUUUCUCUUUUGAAGGAGAGUCAUCCAAAGAAGGGGUUAACACUGCCAGGAGGAAGCAAGUUCAGCAUUCAGAGCCCGACAGGAGGAUCGCUGAAGUGAAAAGACACUUGGCUUUUCUAUGACUUUGAUAAAGGAGAACGAAUGAUUCUCACAACUUAUGUGUAGUCAGGAAACAAUUCUAAUACCAGUGUAUAGGUGGGGAACCAAGACUGCAAUGUUGAUGUUAUGAAGUGUCUGUUGAUUCAGGGAGCUUAAACAACGAGGUACCCAACACAAGAAAUC
rnacentral:lncRNA from 1 species